UACAGAGGUCCCAAGCGUUGUUCGGAUCAUUGGGCGUAAAGGGUGCGUAGGCGGUGGGGUAAGUUGGAUGUGAAAUCUUGGGGCUUAACCUCAAAAUUGCAUUCAAUACUGCUCCGCUCGAGUUCUGUAGAGGAGAUUGGAAUUUACGGUGUAGCAGUGAAAUGCGUAGAUAUCGUAAGGAACGCCAGUGGCGAGAGCGAAUCUCUGGGCAGCAACUGACGCUGAGGCACGAAGGCCAGGGGAGCAAACGGG
rnacentral:rRNA from 1 species